UUUACUCGUGACAUAUUUGUUAACAUUAUUUUACUAGUUUUUAGCUUCAUUUGAAAUCUUUGAAGAUACACCAUUCAAAUUUGGAACACUAUCUUCCCUUUUUGCAGAGAUCUUUUCCAUUGAUAGAAAAUAAUAGAAAAACAUGCUUUAAACUUUUGUUUCCAAAACUUUAGGUUUGAUGUUUUAACAACUUGACAGUGUUUUGGAAAACCAACUUUAUUACCAGUCAUACCUAAUAAAAUUCAGGAAAAACAAUGUGACAACUUCCUUGAUGAUCAGUGCAAAACUAAAGAAAAAGAAUUGUUACAAAUGCAUGUCCAUUUAUUUUCAGUGGAAGAGAGGGAUGACUGGAAAUGGAUGAUCGUCCAGGAAGAUGUGUUGGUAGCAAUGCUGAUGUUGUUACAUUGCUGGAUUCUAUGGAAGGUACAUCCCGUGUGAUCAGCCUUAAUGCCAUCAGAGGCAUUUUUACAGAUCAGUGAACUGUCGGGCUCUUGAACAGAUGAGAUGGGACAACCAGCCAGCAAUUGGUCAGGAAUCUGAUGUUUGUGACAGUGUUUGAGUGAAGUGUCUGGUCUUGGCCAAUGGCACGCCAUUCCAGAGCAUUGAGCCGCUGGAGGAACCUCUAGGUUGAGGCAGCACCAAAUUGAGCACCCAUUGUGGAGCGAUAACUACCAUGCUGAUGUCCUGAUUGAAAGUCUUAAUUACUAGCCAAUUUGUUUUCGUUCGCAAAGUUCGUAAUCAAGCAAAAAAUUGUGUAACAUGGAGUGCAUUAACUUCAUAUAAGUAGUUAACUUGUCACAAUGUAUGUAGUUUUUUUACUUGUAACAAUCACAACAUGCUGACAAAAAUUACAGAAAGCUUACCAGUCUGCAUUAAUGGUUGUACUCUGUCGGCUUACAUCUUGCCAAAUUCAUGAAUAAAUAACCGUACUUGGCUAUGAUGCAUUUUAUAAGGCUUUUUUUCUGACAGAGUUCCAUAUACUGACGCCAGUAAUUAUUCCCUACAUUGACCUAUUAGCCACAGAAAGCAAAAAGUCUCGAGAAAAGUCACCCAAUUUAGGAGGGAAAAUACAAUGCCGUUUACUUGGAAAACACUUUGAGAAGUUUUCAGACCAAUGUGAAAGUGUUUAACCCAGGAUGUCAAGUGUCGUCCGCAUAUGGAACUCUUUCCUAUUUCUGCAAUGAAUUAAGCUUUGAUGUGAUUCUUGUUCUUGCUUUAAGACAUGCUUUUAGACUUGUAUCAACCUUUUCAUCAGUGAAUUGUUGUGAAGACGUUAUUCCAUCUCCACUGAUAUUGAUUAGUUGCAUUUUUUAUCCGGUUGACAGUGAAAUUGGUAACUGUGAAUGCAAAUGUUGUCCUGUGGAAAUGUUUGGUAUUCUUAAAAGUUUGGCUUUUGAUAAAUUUGCUGCCUGCAAUGACUUCCAAUUUGCUAACCCUCUUCCUCAUUGCUAUCCAGAUUUCAACUUUAGUGUUCAUAUGUUAAAUACUUCAUUUCUGUGAUAGUUUCUGAAAAUUGAAAGAUUGAGUUUGGCGUACUACAGCAGAUGGGAUCAGAAACAAAACCUUAUUUUACAACAACUGAAUGGACUUUGUUAACAAUAUUCAAGAUUGUGUAUAUAUGGUCAAUUCUGAAAUACAGAUUUCAUAAGGGAAUCUUUGCUGUUGAAUUAAAGUCAUUUCUGUCCAUUAUAUUAUA
rnacentral:lncRNA from 1 species